rnacentral:rRNA from 1 species
UACGUAGGGUGCAAGCGUUGUCCGGAAUUAUUGGGCGUAAAGAGCUCGUAGGCGGUUUGUUGCGUCGGCUGUGAAAUCCCGAGGCUCAACCUCGGGUCUGCAGUCGAUACGAGCAAACUAGAGUGUUGCAGGGGAGACUGGAAUUCCUGGUGUAGCGGUGAAAUGCGCAGAUAUCAGAAGGAACACCGGUGGCGAAGGCGGGUCUCUGGGCAACAACUGACGCUGGAGGAGCGAAAGCGUGGGGAGCGAACAGG